rnacentral:rRNA from 1 species
CCGGGAAUCUUCCACAAUGGACGAAAGUCUGAUGGGGCAACGCCGCGUGAGUGAAGAAGGGUUUCGGCUCGUAAAACUCUGUUGUUAAAGAAGAACAUAUCUGAGAGUAACUGUUCAGGUAUUGACGGUAUUUAACCAGAAAGCCACGGCUAACUACGCGCCAG